UACGUAGGCAGCGAGCGUUGUUCGGAGUUACUGGGCGUAAAGGGUGUGUAGGCGGUUGUUUAAGUUUGGUGUGAAAUCUCCCGGCUCAACUGGGAGGGUGCGCCGAAUACUGAAUGACUUGGAGUGCGGGAGAGGAGAGUGGAAUCCUGGUGUAGCGGUGAAAUGCGUAGAUAUCAGGAGGAACACCGGUGGUGUAGACGGCUCUCUGGACCGUAACUGACGCUGAGACACGAAAGCGUGGGUAGCAAACAGG
rnacentral:rRNA from 1 species